ACGAUGAUCCGGUGCUUGCACCGGGGAUUAGUGGCGAACGGGUGAGUAACACGUGAGUAACCUGCCCUUAACUCUGGGAUAAGCCUGGGAAACUGGGUCUAAUACCGGAUAUGACUGAUCAUCGCAUGGUGGUUGGUGGAAAGCUUUUUGUGGUUUUGGAUGGACUCGCGGCCUAUCAGCUUGUUGGUGAGGUAAUGGCUUACCAAGGCGACGACGGGUAGCCGGCCUGAGAGGGUGACCGGCCACACUGGGACUGAGACACGGCCCAGACUCCUACGGGAGGCAGCAGUGGGGAAUAUUGCACAAUGGGCGAAAGCCUGAUGCAGCGACGCCGCGUGAGGGAUGACGGCCUUCGGGUUGUAAACCUCUUUCAGUAGGGAAGAAGCGAAAGUGACGGUACCUGCAGAAGAAGCGCCGGCUAACUACGUGCCAGCAGCCGCGGUAAUACGUAGGGCGCAAGCGUUAUCCGGAAUUAUUGGGCGUAAAGAGCUCGUAGGCGGUUUGUCGCGUCUGCCGUGAAAGUCCGGGGCUCAACUCCGGAUCUGCGGUGGGUACGGGCAGACUAGAGUGAUGUAGGGGAGACUGGAAUUCCUGGUGUAGCGGUGAAAUGCGCAGAUAUCAGGAGGAACACCGAUGGCGAAGGCAGGUCUCUGGGCAUUAACUGACGCUGAGGAGCGAAAGCAUGGGGAGCGAACAGGAUUAGAUACCCUGGUAGUCCAUGCCGUAAACGUUGGGCACUAGGUGUGGGGGACAUUCCACGUUUUCCGCGCCGUAGCUAACGCAUUAAGUGCCCCGCCUGGGGAGUACGGCCGCAAGGCUAAAACUCAAAGGAAUUGACGGGGGCCCGCACAAGCGGCGGAGCAUGCGGAUUAAUUCGAUGCAACGCGAAGAACCUUACCAAGGCUUGACAUGAACCGGAAAGACCUGGAAACAGGUGCCCCGCUUGCGGUCGGUUUACAGGUGGUGCAUGGUUGUCGUCAGCUCGUGUCGUGAGAUGUUGGGUUAAGUCCCGCAACGAGCGCAACCCUUCGUUCUAUGUUGCCAGCACGUGG
rnacentral:rRNA from 1 species